GCUCAGAUUGAACGCUGGCGGCAGGCCUAACACAUGCAAGUCGAACGGUAACAGGAAGAAGCUUGCUUCUUUGCUGACGAGUGGCGGACGGGUGAGUAAUGUCUGGGAAACUGCCUGAUGGAGGGGGAUAACUACUGGAAACGGUAGCUAAUACCGCAUAACGUCGCAAGACCAAAGAGGGGGACCUUCGGGCCUCUUGCCAUCGGAUGUGCCCAGAUGGGAUUAGCUUGUUGGUGGGGUAACGGCUCACCAAGGCGACGAUCCCUAGCUGGUCUGAGAGGAUGACCAGCCACACUGGAACUGAGACACGGUCCAGACUCCUACGGGAGGCAGCAGUGGGGAAUAUUGCACAAUGGGCGCAAGCCUGAUGCAGCCAUGCCGCGUGUAUGAAGAAGGCCUUCGGGUUGUAAAGUACUUUCAGCGGGGAGGAAGGGAGUAAAGUUAAUACCUUUGCUCAUUGACGUUACCCGCAGAAGAAGCACCGGCUAACUCCGUGCCAGCAGCCGCGGUAAUACGGAGGGUGCAAGCGUUAUCCGGAUUUAUUGGGCGUAAAGGGAGCGUAGGCGGAUACUUAAGUGGGAUGUGAAAUACUUGGGCUCAACCCGAGUACUGCAUUCCAAACUGAGUAUCUAGAGUGCAGGAGAGGAGAGUGGAAUUCCUAGUGUAGCGGUGAAAUGCGUAGAGAUUAGGAAGAACACCAGUGGCGAAGGCGACUCUCUGGACUGUAACUGACGCUGAGGCUCGAAAGCGUGGGGAGCGAACAGGAUUAGAUACCCUGGUAGUCCACGCCGUAAACGAUGA
rnacentral:rRNA from 1 species